UGAGGAAUAUUGGGCAAUGCCCGAAAGGGUGACCCAGCAACGCCGCGUGGAGGAUGAAGGUCGUAAGAUUGUAAACUCCUGUUAGAGGGGAAGAAUAACUAAGUUUGGAGCUUAGUAUGACUGUACCCUCAGAGAAAGCCCCGGCUAACUGCGUGCCAGCAGCCGCGGUAAUACGUAGGGGGCAAGCGUUGUCCGGAUUUACUGGGUGUAAAGGGCGCGCAGGCGGAAUGGAAAGUCAGUGGUGAAAUCCUACAGCUUAACUGUAGAACUGCCUUUGAUACUUUCAUUCUUGAGUUCGGGAGAGAGAGACGGAAUUCCAGGUGUGGUGGUGAAAUACGUAUAUAUCUGGAAGAACACCUGUUGCGAAGGCGGUCUCUUGGUCCGAUACUGACGCUGAGGCGCGAAAG
rnacentral:rRNA from 1 species